UCAGAAAGAAGAGUGACCCAGAAUCUCCCUUUCUCUCCCCAUACCUCGUUGAAAACUCCCAUGUUGGAGACCAGCGGCUGAAGAAGCUUAUAAUUCCCCACCUGCAAUACACCAUGGAAAUUAACAUCUGGGCCAGAACUGGGCUGGUCUCCAACAGGAAGUUUUCAACCAGGUGGUGAGCACUGGUGGGGAAGCCAUGUGGAGCUGCUCAAGCGAGCUGGAGCCUUUCUAACCUAUAGCUCCUUCUGUCCCCCUGAUGACUUGGCUGUCCAGGGCCUCCUGGGAGUCAAGUCUUCCUUCUUUGCCAAGAUGCACUGCAGCUCCGGGAAAUCAUCUCUCGGGGCAGAGCUGGCUUCAACACUCUGGCCCUGCCCCAUUGGCUGGCCGGUAUGUGGAAGGAAUCAUAAGUCUCCACUGUAAGACAGACGUGGCUGUGAACAGUGACCCAGAGCUGCAGACCUGGUGUCGAGAGAUCAUUGAAAUCCGGCUGCCCAGGACCGAGUCUCAGGACCAGGUUUGCCAUUUUGUCACCACAUGUAUCUUUGCCUGCACUGGCCGACACUCCUUCGUCCACCUGGACCAGCUGGAUUGGUACAUUUGGGUCCCUAAUGCACCCUGCACGAUGUGGCUGCCAACCACCAAGGAUGCAACACUGCCCAACUUUCCAGAUGUCCUCUCCAGAUGUCCAUCAGUUGGCAGCUGA
rnacentral:lncRNA from 1 species